rnacentral:rRNA from 2 species
ACCGUGCAAAGGUAGCAUAAUAAUUAGUUUUUUAAUUGAAAGCUGGAAUGAAUGAUUGAACGAGAAAAUAGCUGUCUCAAUUUAAUUUUAUUAGAAUUUUAUUUUUAAGUAAAAAAGCUUAAAUAGUUUUAAAAGACGAGAAGACCCUAUAGAGUUUAAUAAUUAAUUAACUAUUGAUUUUUUAGUAUUAUUUUAUUAUUAAUAAAUUAAUUAUUUUAUUGGGGUGAUGGAAAAAUAUUUUUAACUUUUUUUUUAUUAUUACAUUAAUUUAUGAUUUUUUGAUCCAUUAUUUAUGAUUAUAAGAUUAAGUUACCUUAGGGAUAACAGCGUAAUUUUUUUUAGAGUUCUUAUCGAAAAAAAAGAUU